UACGGAGGAUCCAAGCGUUAUCCGGAAUCAUUGGGUUUAAAGGGUCCGUAGGCGGUUUAGUAAGUCAGUGGUGAAAGCCCAUUGCUCAACGGUGGAACGGCCAUUGAUACUGCUAGACUUGAAUUAUUAGGAAGUAACUAGAAUAUGUAGUGUAGCGGUGAAAUGCUUAGAGAUUACAUGGAAUACCAAUUGCGAAGGCAGGUUACUACUAAUGGAUUGACGCUGAUGGACGAAAGCGUGGGUAGCGAACAGG
rnacentral:rRNA from 1 species